rnacentral:lncRNA from 1 species
UGGGGUCGGAUGGCUGUCUGACCAGCAGAAUCAUCGACUCAAUCAACCAACUAGUUUGGUCACAAAACAAGAGUCCUUUGUUUGGAUUUGAGUCUGGAGCCAUUCUGAAGUAACGAUAUCUGGAGUGGGUUUGAACACUACAAGAAAAUAGAGUUUUAGUGACCCCAAAAUCGAUUGCUAAAUAGCACAAAUCAGUUGCUAAUAUACUUUGCGAUUGAUUUUGCGAUCGAAACAUAUCGGUUG